GACGUAGGGCGCGAGCGUUGUCCGGAUUUAUUGGGCGUAAAGAGCUCGUAGGCGGCUUGUCGCGUCGUCCGUGAAAACCUGCAGCUCAACUGCAGGCUUGCGGUCGAUACGGGCAGGCUGGAGUUCGGUAGGGGAGACUGGAAUUCCUGGUGUAGCGGUGAAAUGCGCAGAUAUCAGGAGGAACACCGGUGGCGAAGGCGGGUCUCUGGGCCGAUACUGACGCUGAGGAACGAAAGCGUGGGGAGCGAACAGG
rnacentral:rRNA from 1 species